rnacentral:rRNA from 1 species
CCUACGGGAGGCAGCAGCAGGGAAUAUUGGACAAUGGGCGAAAGCCUGAUCCAGUGAUAUCGCUUUGGGGAUGACGGCGACAUACGUUGUAAACCCAAUGAAGUACGUUUAGAUUAUGACCGUACGUAUUUUAGAAGUCCCGGCUAAUCUCGUGCCAGCAGCCGCGGUAAUACGAGAGGGGCAAGCGUUAUUCAAAAUGAUUGGGCGUAAAGCGCACGUAGGUGGUGAUAUGUAUCCAUAAUUAUUCAGGCUACAAGUCUUGUCGAUAUUUAUGAAGUAUAUGUAUUUCUUGAGGGUGUGAGAGGAGCAUGGAAUUUCCUAGGAAGCGGUAGAAUGUGUUGAUCUAGGAAGGAACACCAAUAGCGAAAGCAGUGCUCUGGCACAUUCCUGACAUUGAGGUGCGAAAGCGUGGGGAUCAAAAGGGAUUAGAUACCCCUGUAGUCCACGCUGUCAACGAUGACCAUUCCCUGUAUUUUGAAUACAUCAAAGUGUAGGUUAGCUAACGCGGUAAAUGGUCCGCCUGAGGAGUACGGUCGCAAGACUAAAACUCAAAGGAAUUGACG